rnacentral:pre_miRNA from 2 species
UUCUUAGAAUAAGUAUGUCUCCAUGCAACAUUUGGGACAUACUUAUGCUAAAA